rnacentral:rRNA from 1 species
GAUGAACGCUGGCGGCGUGCUUAACACAUGCAAGUCGAACGGAAAGGCUCCUGCUUGCCGGGGUACUCGAGUGGCGAACGGGUGAGUAACACGUGGGCGAUCUGCCCUGCACUUCGGGAUAAGCCUGGGAAACUGGGUCUAAUACCGGAUAGGACGAUGGUUUGGAUGCCAUUGUGGAAAGUUUUUCGGUGUGGGAUGAGCUCGCGGCCUAUCAGCUUGUUGGUGGGGUAAUGGCCUACCAAGGCGUCGACGGGUAGCCGGCCUGAGAGGGUGUACGGCCACAUUGGGACUGAGAUACGGCCCAGACUCCUACGGGAGGCAGCAGUGGGGAAUAUUGCACAAUGGGCGCAAGCCUGAUGCAGCGACGCCGCGUGGGGGAUGACGGCCUUCGGGUUGUAAACUCCUUUCGCUAGGGACGAAGCGCAAGUGACGGUACCUGGAGAAGAAGCACCGGCUAACUACGUG